rnacentral:rRNA from 1 species
GAGUUUGAUCAUGGCUCAGAUUGAACGCUGGCGGUAGGCUUAACACAUGCAAGUCGUGCGAGAAAGUAUCUUCGGAUAUGAGUAGAGCGGCGGACGGGUGAGUAACGCGUAGGAAUCUACCUAGUAGAAGGGGAUAGCCCGGGGAAACCCGGAUUAAUACCGUAUACCUCCUUCGGGAGAAAGAAGGCCUCUCUUUGAAGCUUUCGCUACUAGAUGAGCCUGCGUAAGAUUAGCUUGUUGGUGAGGUAAAGGCUCACCAAGGCUACGAUCUUUAGCUGGUCUGAGAGGACGAUCAGCCACAUUGGGACUGAGACACGGCCCAGACUCCUACGGGAGGCAGCAGUGGGGAAUAUUGGACAAUGGGCGCAAGCCUGAUCCAGCCAUACCGCGUGUGUGAAGAAGGCCUUCGGGUUGUAAAGCACUUUAAGCAGGGAGAAAAAGUUAUAAGCUAAUACCUUAUGACCUUGAUGUUACCUGCAGAAUAAGCACCGGCUAAUUCCGUGCCAGCAGCCGCGGUAAUACGGAAGGUGCAAGCGUUAAUCGGAAUUACUGGGCGUAAAGCGCGCGUAGGUGGUUUGUUAAGUUGGAUGUGAAAGCCCUGGGCUCAACCUAGGAACUGCAUCCAAAACUAACUCACUAGAGUACGAUAGAGGGAGGUAGAAUUCAUAGUGUAGCGGUGGAAUGCGUAGAUAUUAUGAAGAAUACCAGUGGCGAAGGCGGCCUCCUGGAUCUGUACUGACACUGAGGUGCGAAAGCGUGGGUAGCGAACAGGAUUAGAUACCCUGGUAGUCCACGCCGUAAACGAUGACAACUAGCUGUUGGGAGACUAUGUCUUUC